GAUGAACGCUGGCGGCGUGCUUAACACAUGCAAGUCGAACGAGAGCUGUAGACGGACACCUUCUGUCGGAAGCCUUCAUUUCGAGUGGCGGACGGGUGAGUAACGCGUCGGUAACCUGCCUCAUACAGGGGGAUAACAUUUGGAAACGACUGUUAAUACCGCAUAAGACCACAGCAUCGCUUGAUGCGGCUGUCAAAAGUCCGUUGGUAUGAGUUGGACUCGCAUUCGAUUAGCAAGUUGGCGGGGGAACGGCGCACCACAGCGACGAUCGAUAGCCGGUCUGAGAGGAGGAGCGGCGACAUUGGGACUGAGACGCGGCGCAAACUCCUACGGGAGGCAGCAGUGGGGAAUAUAGCAAAAUGGGGGAAACGCAGAAGCAGCGACGCCGGGAGAGUGAAGAAGUACGUCGGUAAGAAAAGCUCUAUCAGAAGGGAAGAAAAUGACGGUACCUGAGGAAGAAGCCCCGGCUAACUACGUG
rnacentral:rRNA from 1 species